ACGGAAGGCAGCAGUGAGGAAUAUUGGUCAAUGGGCGCAGGCCUGAACCAGCCAAGUCGCGUGAGGGAUGACGGUCCUACGGAUUGUAAACCCCUUUUGCCGGGGAGUAAUGUGCGGGACGAGUCCCGUAUUGGGAGUACCCGGAGAAAAAGCAUCGGCUAACUCCGUGCCAGCAGCCGCGGUAAUACGGAGGAUGCGAGCGUUAUCCGGAUUUAUUGGGUUUAAAGGGUGCGCAGGCGGCGCGUCAAGUCAGCGGUCAAAUCCCGGGGCUCAACCUCGGUUCGCCGUUGAAACUGCCGUGCUCGAGUUCGUGCGAGGAGAGCGGAAUGCGUGGUGUAGCGGUGAAAUGCAUAGAUAUCACGCAGAACGCCGAUUGCGAAGGCAGCCCUCCAGCACUGGACUGACGCUGAGGCACGAAAGCGUGGGUAUCGAACAGGAUUAGAUACCCUGGUA
rnacentral:rRNA from 1 species